rnacentral:sRNA from 2 species
AUUGCCCACUGCACUGCAUACAAAGUACGCCUCCAUUCCAUACAAAAAUAACCAUAUCAUGACAGACACAUGCCCUUGAUAGCUACCAGUAGCAUCUUAUAUUAUUAUUAUUAUUCCUACUCCCAUUCAUGAUAUUAGAUAGAGAGAGAUAACUAUAGAACCUUAAGGAGCAGUGAGUGGAAUGACCCAUUUUUCGCCAUUAUUUUUCUUAUAGAAAUACUAUACUACUAGUAUACAGCCGCUCAUUUACGAAAGGAGUGUUCAUCGCCCCGAGUAGUCUUCAGCUUCUUUAUCCAUAAUGGCUUCAACAUCUCCUCUCCGAAAACCAGGCCAGCGUCUUACCGGAGUGCUGAGCAUGUGUAUGUACAUGUACAUCAUCACCGAGCAACUAGGCGGCACCAUUCUACUUAUAUGCAUUUCUCCUAGCUAGCAACAAAGCCGGGCAGGGCACACUGUUGUUAUCAAAUCCGCCCGCCAUUAGCGUAGGUAAACUAUUGAUAAUGAAAAAAAAGAUACCCGGAUGAAAUUUCAACCUCGAACCUCAUGCCUGCGUGUGUGAGCUUUUGAUUGACGAGAUAGUUGAACAAACCGUCAGAUACAUCCACAAUUGCAUUAAGAGAUCUUGAAGAUGAUAUAUUCGCAGCUUCAAAUGCUAAAAGAAACUUAACGGAAAGGGAGAUCAAAAUCAAAUUAUGUCUCAACGGCGGGGUUCUGGAGGAGUUGAAAGUUGAAAGUUUUUCUUCAUUGGAGCUGGCUGGCUAUGUGCAUACGGGUUUUGAAUCCCAUCGAUAUUGAAUGGAUGACGUUUUGAUUUUGAAAAGUACAGUGCACAUAAGCUCUCCUUACUGCAAAAAGCAGUGAUGGAAUUGGCACACUGUUGAGGUUACAGUGGAGACCACCUACCGAUAUUUGGUCUUAUGGGGAGACAACGAAUGGGCUCAUAUCCAUGAUCUGGGCGUGAUAACUUCUUUUUUAACUUCGAGCCUAAAAGUUACCCGAGGUCACGAAGACUAUGAACCAAGGAUUCUUAUACAGUACCGCAUCUUUUCCAGGCCAUAUCUACCCACCUAUGCGCUUAUGCGGACCUUGCCGACGAGGAGACAUUGGCAAUCCUUUUCAGCUCUCAUGGACAGGGUGCCAUCUGAGAAUUCGAGACCUUUUCUUUCUCACUGGCUAGCCAAAAAGAGAUCUCGAAAGAAGAUAAGGAGUUUGUUUGUCUUUGAAGGAUAAUGAAACUUGGCCCCAGGGACAGACCAACUGCGAGAAGGCUUCUUGAAGAUGAGUGGUUCAAGGAGGAGAUGUGAAUAUGCCACUGUUUGACCCACCAAUCCGAUUCUAAUAUUUCUGCUAACUACUUUAACUGAGCCGUGAGCGUGAAUAGAUCGAUUCAUGCAAUACAUUUUAUUUGGCUCAAAAACGGUAACUAAGUAGUUGCAUGCCCAAUGUACGUACAACUCUACAGUAUCAGCAGGCAGCGUCGGGGUAGCCGUCUGCCUGCCCAACGCUGCUGGCGAUAGAUUCCCGUGACUAUUUCGCGGUCGUCUGGGUAGCCGCGGAACGGAUAGCUUCCAUUCCAUCUUUUUCAACAUGCGACGGUCUGUUCUGUUCCUUGAUGAUUUGGUUGUAACUACAUAGUUGCUUGUGGGAUUCUGAGUUCAAGAAACAAAGUCCUGAUUUUGAACGGUGUAGGUAACAAGAAAUGGCAAGUGGGAAGAUUACUUGAGAGUUUCUGGAGCAAUAGAAAUAGCAGAAAGAAAGAAAGAAAGGAAGAAAGAAAAAGGAAAUAAGAU